rnacentral:lncRNA from 1 species
GCUUCAUGUCACGUCCACUUGUAUUUUUGUCCAUCUAAUGAGUUAACCUUUUUCAACUGAUUUUUAUAGUUCGUUCUCAUGUUGUACUGUUAUACCCCUGUCCCAGGUUAGGGGAGGGUUGGGAUCCCGCUAACAUGUUCAACCCCGCCACAUUAUUUACGUUUGUGCCUGUCCCAAGUCAGGAGCCUGUAAUUCAGUGGUAAUCGUUUGUUUAUGUGUUACAUAUUUCUUUUUCGUUCAUUUUUUUUUAUAUAAAUAAGGCCGUUAGUUUUCUCGUUUGAAUUGUUUUAAAUUGUCUUAUUGGGGCUUUUUAUAUGGGGUAUGGGCUUUGCUCAUUGUCGAAGGCUGCACAGUGACCUAUAGUUGAUAAUGUCUGUGUCAUUUUGGUCUCUUGUGGACAGUUGUCUCAUUGGCAAUCAUGCCACAUCUUCUUUUUUAUAUAUUCAUGUCUAAAAUCUUUAUGUAUUAGUUUUGUCCAUGUUCAUGUUCAUUGAGGCCCUUAUAAUUACAUUUGUAAUGCUUAAAUUCUCUA